UACGAAGGGGGCUAGCGUUGUUCGGAAUUACUGGGCGUAAAGCGCACGUAGGCGGAUUGUUAAGUCAGGGGUGAAAUCCCGGGGCUCAACCCCGGAACUGCCUUUGAUACUGGGUAUCUAGAGUCCAGAAGAGGUGAGUGGAAUUCCGAGUGUAGAGGUGAAAUUCGUAGAUAUUCGGAGGAACACCAGUGGCGAAGGCGGCUCACUGGUCUGGUACUGACGCUGAGGUGCGAAAGCGUGGGGAGCAAACAGG
rnacentral:rRNA from 1 species